rnacentral:rRNA from 1 species
GACGAACGCUGGCGGCGUGCUUAACACAUGCAAGUCGAACGAGCGGCGGACGGGUGAGUAAUGUAUGGGGACUGCCCGAUAGAGGGGGAUAACUACUGGAAACGGUGGCUAAUACCGCAUACUAUCGGAUAACCCAUAUGGGAUUAGCUAGUAGGUAGGGUAAAGGCUCACCUAGGCGACGAUCUCUAGCUGGUCUGAGAGGAUGAUCAGCCACACUGGGACUGAGACACGGCCCAGACUCCUACGGAGGCAGCAGUGGGGAAUAUUGGACAAUGGGCGAAAGCCUGAUGCAGCCAUGCCGCGUGUAUGAAGAAGGCCUUAGGGUUGUAAAGUACUUUCAGCGGGGAGGCGUUACCCGCAGAAGAAGCACCGGCUAACUCCGUGCCAGCAGCCGCGGUAAUUC